GUUUCAAUUAUUAUUAUAGUCACCUCAAUUUUAUACAAGGGAUGAAUAAAAAUGCAGACAAAAUUUGCAUUGGAUUGCUCCUAGCUAUUUCAUCUACAUGGUAGUGCACAAUGGGAUAUAUGAAUUUUACGGAGUGACACAUGCACUUUCCUUAUCAUAAAGAUAAAUGGGUGCCAGCACAUCCUAUUCAAAUCAAUAAUGAUCCUUCCGCAGGUUCACCUACGGAAA
rnacentral:misc_RNA from 1 species